GUGACAUUUUUCUAUGAACAAUAUUUUUAAUUCUAAUAUUUUCCAUCAAAUGAAUUUAGCCUCACCUGCAGGUUGCAUUUUGUUUAAUUUCUAGUAUCAUUAUUUUAAAACUAUGUAUACACAAAUUAUCUUUCUCAUCUCAAUUAGUAAUAUGAGCUGGUGAUAGAAAUGUAAUGUGCCAUCUGGUUUCAAUUUAUUUCUGUGUAGUGGUAAAGACAGGAAGUACCAUAAAUUAAUGUACACAGAGUUUGAGGCCAAAUUAAGGGUAGAGCAUUUCUUCUUUGUAUAUAUUUCCAUUAUAACUUAUAACAUCAAAGAUAUAAAAAAAAAAUAUAUAUAUAAUUAUUUUUUUAUUAUAAUAUAUAACAAAUAUUCAAGAUUUAGGCAAUUGAUAUUUAUAAUUAGGGGCAAAUUUCAAAGGGAUCACACUGUCACAAUACCCUAAGCAACCUUGAUCAACAUAUUCAAAAUUUGAACUGGACAUGAACAUGCAUACAACAAACAAAGAUGUCUUCUAUCAUGAACAAAGUAAUAUGAAUUUUACAAUGGAUUUAGAUCCAAAAGUUCCAAUUAAUUCUAUUGACACUGGAUAGUGCAUAUGAUAGCCUUCAGUUGACAUGGCUCUUGGAUUUAGGAAGAUUGGUGUUUACACAUAAUUUGGAUAACAUCUUUUGUAUUUGAAAUCAGAAAAUUCAACUUUAAGGACAGUGAGUACAGAGAAACAGAACUAAAGGAUACACAGAUAUGUAACACAACAACCUAUAGAGGACAGAGAAAAUUUUGUUUUAUUAUUAAAUCAUACUUUUUUAAA